rnacentral:rRNA from 1 species
ACGCUAGCUACAGGCUUAACACAUGCAAGUCGAGGGGAAACGGCAUUAAGUGCUUGCACUUUUUGGACGUCGACCGGCGCACGGGUGAGUAACGCGUAUCCAACCUUCCCAUGACUAAGGGAUAACCUGCCGAAAGGCAGACUAAUACCUUAUGGUCUUCACUGACGGCAUCAGAUGUGAAGUAAAGAUUUAUCGGUUAUGGAUGGGGAUGCGUCUGAUUAGCUUGUUGGCGGGGUAACGGCCCACCAAGGCAACGAUCAGUAGGGGGUCUGAGAGGAAGGUCCCCCACAUUGGAACUGAGACACGGUCCAAACUCCUACGGGAGGCAGCAGUGAGGAAUAUUGGUCAAUGGGCGAGAGCCUGAACCAGCCAAGUAGCGUGCAGGAAGACGGCCCUAUGGGUUGUAAACUGCUUUUGUAUGGGGAUAAAGUCAAUCACGUGUGAUUGUUUGCAGGUACCAUACGAAUAAGGACCGGCUAAUUCCGUGCCAGCAGCCGCGGUAAUACGGAAGGUCCGGGCGUUAUCCGGAUUUAUUGGGUUUAAAGGGAGCGUAGGCUGGAGAUUAAGUGUGUUGUGAAAUGUAGACGCUCAACGUCUGACUUGCAGCGCAUACUGGUUUCCUUGAGUACGCACAACGUUGGCGGAAUUCGUCGUGUAGCGGUGAAAUGCUUAGAUAUGACGAAGAACUCCGAUUGCGAAGGCAGCUGACGGGAGCGCAACUGACGCUGAAGCUCGAAGGUGCGGGUAUCGAACAGGAUUAGAUACCCUGGUAGUCCGCACAGUAAACGAUGGAUGCCCGCUGUUGGUACCUGGUAUCAGCGGCUAAGCGAAAGCAUUAAGCAUCCCACCUGGGGAGUACGCCGGCAACGGUGAAACUCAAAGGAAUUGACGGGGGCCCGCACAAGCGGA